GACGAACGCUGGCGGCGUGCUUAACACAUGCAAGUCGAACGCUGAAGCUCAGCUUUUGUUGGGUGGAUGAGUGGCGAACGGGUGAGUAACACGUGAGUAACCUGCCCCCUUCUUUGGGAUAACGCCCGGAAACGGGUGCUAAUACUGGAUAUUCACUGGUCUUCGCAUGGGGGCUGGUGGAAAGGGUUUUUCUGGUGGGGGAUGGACUCGCGGCCUAUCAGCUUGUUGGUGGGGUGAUGGCCUACCAAGGCUUUGACGGGUAGCCGGCCUGAGAGGGUGACCGGUCACAUUGGGACUGAGAUACGGCCCAGACUCCUACGGGAGGCAGCAGUGGGGAAUAUUGCACAAUGGGCGCAAGCCUGAUGCAGCGACGCCGCGUGAGGGAUGGAGGCCUUCGGGUUGUGAACCUCUUUCGCUCAUGGUCAAGCCGCAACAAUGGUUGUGGUGAGGGUAGUGGGUAAAGAAGCGCCGGCUAACUACGUG
rnacentral:rRNA from 1 species